rnacentral:rRNA from 1 species
AGUAACACGUGGGUAACCUGCCUUAUAGUGGGGGAUAGCCUUUCGAAAGGAAGAUUAAUACCGCAUAAGAUUGUAGUUAUCGCAUGAUAUAGCAAUUAAAGGAGCAAUCCGCUAUAAGAUGGACCCGCGUCGCAUUAGCUAGUUGGUGAGGUAAUGGCUCACCAAGGCGACGAUGCGUAGCCGACCUGAGAGGGUGAACGGCCACAUUGGGACUGAGACACGGCCCAGACUCCUACGGGAGGCAGCAUG